rnacentral:rRNA from 1 species
UACAGAGGGGGCAAGCGUUGUUCGGAAUUACUGGGCGUAAAGGGCGCGUAGGCGGCCUUCUAAGUCAGACGUGAAAUCCCUCGGCUCAACCGGGGAACUGCGUCUGAGACUGGAAGGCUUGAAUCCGGGAGAGGGAUGUGGAAUUCCAGGUGUAGCGGUGAAAUGCGUAGAUAUCUGGAGGAACACCGGUGGCGAAGGCGGCAUCCUGGACCGGUAUUGACGCUGAGGCGCGAAAGCGUGGGGAGCGAACAGG